UAUUCGACCUUACUCGUCCGGGAUGCAGCAGUGGUGAAUUUUUGUCAAUAGGCGAAAGCGUGGAGGAGUGAUUCUGCGUGGGGGAUGGAUGGAUUGGGCCCUUAAAUCCCUGUCAUUGGUGAACAAAUUAUUUCACUUAACACAUAAAGUAUUGAUUGUAACGGAAGAGGAAGGAAAGGCUAACUCUGUGCCAGCAGCCGCGGUAAUACAGAGGUCCCGAGCGUUGUUUUGAUUCGAUUGGCGUAAGGGGUGCGUAGGCGUUUGGAUAAGUCUGAUGUGAAAUCCCGCAGCUUAACUGCGGAAGUGCAUUGGAAACUGUUUGACUAGAGGAAUGGAGGGGAGACUGGAAUACUUGGUGUAGCAGUGAAAUGCGUAGAUAUCAAGUGGAACACCAGUGGCGAAGGCGAGUCUCUGGACAUUUCCUGACGCUGAGGCACGAAAGCCAGGGGAGCAAACGGGAUUAGAUACCCCGGUAGUCCUGGCCCUAAACGGUGCGCGUUUGCUGUGAGCGGAAUCGACCCCGCUCGUGGCGAAGUUAACAC
rnacentral:rRNA from 1 species